rnacentral:rRNA from 1 species
UACGUAGGGUGCGAGCGUUGUCCGGAAUUACUGGGCGUAAGGAGCUCGUAGGUGGUUUGUCGCGUUGUCCGUGAAAACUCACAACUCAAUUGUGGGCGUGCGGGCGAUACGGGCAGACUGGAGUACUGCAGGGGAGACUGGAAUUCCUGGUGUAGCGGUGGAAUGCGCAGAUAUCAGGAGGAACACCGGUGGCGAAGGCGGGUCUCUGGGCCGAUACUGACGCUGAGGAGCGAAAGCGUGGGGAGCGAACAGG